CACUGAAGCCUUCUCUUUCCUCUCAUUUUUUCCUUCUUUCACUGUGCACAGAGGCCACAUGGAAUAUAUACUAAAAGCCUGGGAACUUGGAAAAUAAAUAUGAUAAACAAGAAGCUCGUGCAUAUUCAAAAGACAUUUCAUCUUUCUGUGGAAGGUUACUGGAAGAAACUGAAGAUGAGCUUUCAGAGAGGAUAAAGAAAGGAUCUGUUAACGCCGGAGAAGUAAGCAGGGUCCUAUGCCAAGACAUCGGCAGAUAUUGUAGUCAGACAAGUGGCAAUAGGGAAACAGUGGAAGAUGAAACCAGCAACGAAGAACUCUAGGAACUGCGUGAGGUGGCUCUGCGAAACCGGGCGUUUUGGUAGAAAAACUGAGGCUUCAGAGGUUGUGAAUUUCUCACCUCCAAAAUGCCUUGUUUUACUUUGGUGGUGUUCAGAAUUCAUGAGAUCAAAUUUAACUGUCACUUACACUUACACUUACACUGCACUUGAAAAGAAAAAUAUUAUCAUUAUCUUUCUUAUCUCCCA